GUGCCAGCAGCCGCGGUAAUACGUAGGAUCCGAGCGUUAUCCGGAGUGACUGGGCGUAAAGAGUUGCGUAGGUGGUUAGUAAAGCGAAUAGUGAAACCUGGUGGCUCAACCAUACAGACUAUUAUUCGAACUCACUAACUCGAGAGUGGUAGAGGUAACUGGAAUUUCUAGUGUAGGGGUAAAAUCCGUAGAUAUUAGAAAGAACACCAAUGGCGUAGGCAGGUUACUGGACCAUUUCUGACACUGAGGCACGAAAGCGUGGGGAGCGAACCGGAUUAGAUACCCUAGUAGUCC
rnacentral:rRNA from 1 species